CCUACGGGAGACAGCAGUGAGGAAUAUUGGUCAAUGGCCGCAGGGCUGAACCAGCCAAGUCGCGUGAGGGAUGACGGUCCUAUGGAUUGUAAACCUCUUUUGUCAGGGAGCAAAGGGCGCCACGUGUGGCGCUUUGCGAGUACCUGAAGAAAAAGCAUCGGCUAACUCCGUGCCAGCAGCCGCGGUAAUACGGAGGAUGCGAGCGUUAUCCGGAUUUAUUGGGUUUAAAGGGUGCGCAGGCGGAAUGUCAAGUCAGCGGUAAAAUUUCGGGGCUCAACCCCGUCGUGCCGUUGAAACUGGCAGUCUUGAGUACAGUAGAGGUGGGCGGAAUUCGUGGUGUAGCGGUGAAAUGCUUAGAUAUCACGAAGAACUCCGAUUGCGAAGGCAGCUCACUGGACUGCAACUGACACUGAGGCUCGAAAGUGUGGGUAUCAAACAGGAUUAGAUACCCCUGUAGUC
rnacentral:rRNA from 1 species